rnacentral:rRNA from 1 species
GUAGGUGGCAAGCGUUGUCCGGAAAUUAUUGGGCGUAAAGCGCGCGCAGGCGGUUCUUUAAGUCUGAUGUGAAAGCCCACGGGCUCAACCGUGGAGGGUCAUUGGAAACUGGAGAACUUGAGUACAGAAGAGGAAAGCGGAAUUCCACGUGUAGCGGUGAAAUGCGUAGAGAUGUGGAGGAACACCAGUGGCGAGGGCGGCUUUCUGGUCUGUAACUGACGCUGAGGCGCGAAAGCGUGGGGAGCAAACAGGAUUAGAUACCCUGGUAGUCCACGCCGUAAACGAUGAGUGCUAAGUGUUAGGGGGUUUCCGCCCCUUAGUGCUGCAGCUAACGCAUUAAGCACUCCGCCUGGGGAGUACGGCCGCAAGGCUG